GAUGAACGCUGGCGGCGUGCCUAAUACAUGCAAGUCGAGCGAACGGACGAGAAGUUUGCUUCUCUGAUGUUAGCGGCGGACGGGUGAGUAACACGUGGAUAACCUACCUAUAAGACUGGGAUAACUUCGGGAAACCGGAUCUAAUAUCGGAUGAUAUUUUGAACCGCAUGGUUCAAAAGUGAAAGACGGUCUUGCUGUCACUUAUAGAUGGAUCCGCGCUGCAUUAGCUAGUUGGUAAGGUAACGGCUUACCAAGGCAACGAUGCAUAGCCGACCUGAGAGGGUGAUCGGCCACACUGGAACUGAGACACGGUCCAGACUCCUACGGGAGGCAGCAGUAGGGAAUCUUGCGCAAUGGGCGAAAGCCUGACGGAGCAACGCCGCGUGAGUGAUGAAGGUCUUCGGAUCGUAAAACUCUGUUAUUAGGGAAGAACAUAUGUGUGAGUAACUGUGCACAUCUUGACGGUACCUAAUCAAAAAGCCACGGCUAACUACGUG
rnacentral:rRNA from 1 species